GUGGGGAAUAUUGGACAAUGGGCGAAAGCCUGAUCCAGCCAUGCCGCGUGUGUGAAGAAGGUCUUCGGAUUGUAAAGCACUUUAAGUUGGGAGGAAGGGCAGUAAGUUAAUACCUUGCUGUUUUGACGUUACCGACAGAAUAAGCACCGGCUAACUUCGUGCCAGCAGCCGCGGUAAUACGAAGGGUGCAAGCGUUAAUCGGAAUUACUGGGCGUAAAGCGCGCGUAGGUGGUUCAGCAAGUUGGAGGUGAAAUCCCCGGGCUCAACCUGGGAACUGCCUCCAAAACUACGGAGCUAGAGUACGGUAGAGGGUAGUGGAAUUUCCUGUGUAGCGGUGAAAUGCGUAGAUAUAGGAAGGAACACCAGUGGCGAAGGCGACUACCUGGACUGAUACUGACACUGAGGUGCGAAAGCGUGGGGAGCAAACAGGAUUAGAAACCCGUGUAGUCC
rnacentral:rRNA from 1 species